AUUGAACGCUGGCGGCAGGCCUAACACAUGCAAGUCGAACGGAUCGGCGGACGGGUGAGUAAUACCUAGGAAUCUGCAUGAUGGUGGGGGAUAACGUUCGCAAACGGACGCUAAUACCGCAUACUAUCAGAUGAGCCUGGGUCGGAUUAGCGAGUUGGUGAGGUAAUGGCUCACCAAGGCUACGAUCCGUAACUGGUCUGAGAGGAUGAUCAGUCACACUGGAACUGAGACACGGUCCAGACUCCUACGGGAGGCAGCAGUGGGGAAUAUUGGGCAAUGGGCGAAAGCCUGAUCCAGCCAUGCCGCGUGUGUGAAGAAGGUCUUCGGAUUGUAAAGCACUUUAAGUUGGGAGGCGUUACCGACAGAAGAAGCACCGGCUAACUCUGUGCCAGCAGCCGCGGUAAUUC
rnacentral:rRNA from 1 species